AAAUAGAUACCCAGGUAGUCCACGCCGUAAACGAUGAGUGCUAGGUGUUAGGGGGUCCAACCCUUAGUGCUGAAGUUAACACAUUAAGCACUCCGCCUGGGGAGUAUGACCGCAAGGUUGAAACUCAAAGGAAUUGACGGGGGCCCGCACAAGCAGUGGAGCAUGUGGUUUAAUUCGAAGCAACGCGAAGAACCUUACCAGGUCUUGACAUCCUCUGACAACCCUAGAGAUAGGGCGUUCCCCUUCGGGGGACAGAGUGACAGGUGGUGCAUGGUUGUCGUCAGCUCGUGUCGUGAGAUGUUGGGUUAAGUCCCGCAACGAGCGCAACCCUUGAUGUUAGUUGCCAGCAUUUAGUUGGGCACUCUAACGUGACUGCCGGUGACAAACCGGAGGAAGGUGGGGAUGACGUCAAAUCAUCAUGCCCCUUAUGACCUGGGCUACACACGUGCUACAAUGGGCGGUACAAAGGGCAGCGAAACCGCGAGGUGGAGCUAAUCCCAUAAAGCCGCUCUCAGUUCGGAUUGCAGG
rnacentral:rRNA from 1 species